rnacentral:miRNA from 1 species
UUCUUCCACUUCUCUCUUCUCCUGCACCUGCCUCUGCAGCUGCACCGCACCCCUUCGGGCAGAUGCACACUUUUUAAACCCAACGUAGAAAAGUCUCGUCCCUUUAAUGUCAAACCAGAAAAUGCGCACUUCAUGAUUUUCUUUGAAACAUUUGCAUGCAUUUU